UCAGAAUAUUUCUUACCUAGUCACAAAUUUCAUUUCUAACUUGAUAAAUUAAUCUCAGGUUCUGAACAUCUGGAAUUAUUGCAUCCUGGCUUUCAGCAUAACCAAGAAAGAUAAUAAAUAAUAAAACUAAUUAUGUUUUUAUUUACUUUGAAUUGAAAAAAUGAAAAUUAUAUUGUGUAUAUUCGUAAUAUGAAUAUCAAUCAGUUUAAAAUAUACCAAUACCUAGAUAUACCCCCAACACUGUACUAUAUAGUAUACUUAAAAAAUAAUUUUCCUCUUAUUUUUAAAAGGUUAAAAAAAGGGGUUAAUUUUAAAUAUGAAUCUUUAUAUUCUACCUAAAAUUCAGAUAACACAUAUGCUUAAUAUCAAUAUUUAAUGCCAAAUGUAUGAGGGUCACUUAGCUUUUAGUUUGUAUGAAGAAUAUACCAUGAUUCAGCAACAAUGGCAAUAAUAAUAUUUACAUGUGUGAUGUAUUUAAAUUUUUAACCUGUUUGCUGCCUACCCAGAUCAGCUGUUCUCAGAAAUAAUCCAGAACCUGAGAAGGUAAGUUAAAAUAUGUUUGGAUUACAAUCUUUAUGUUCUAAAAUAUAUUAUAGAGACCCGACUCUCAAGCAGUGAGUAAAUAUCCACCAUUGGCUUAAUAAAAUUUUAAAUAGCUAUCAGAUAUUCCCUUGGCUCAAAUUAAGACAUAGACAAUGGUAAACUUGCACUAUGUAGGACCAAUUGUAGAAUCAUAUAUUAUCUAUUUCAUUUCUUUUUGCUUUUUGUAUUAAACAAGCCCACAUUUGAUGACAUUUCAGCUGAUUCCAAGAAGUAUGACUGAUUGAGGCCUGGCUCCAAUUUGGUCUUAAAUGAUUAUUUCUGCUGAAUAAUGGUGAAGCGUGGUAGGAUAAAAUCUCCUGGUUGAAUUUAAACAACUGGUUCCUGAUUGAAUCCAUAGUUAAAAGCUUUCUAACAGCUCUUUAUUUCUGUGGGGGAGGAGAUAGCAGAGGUUGCUUAUUGUUAGUAGCCUGUAAAAUGACCAUAUUAAAAUUAAAUAAUACCACAAAAUACAAAACUCUCGCCUCCUAUAAACAUUGCUUGCAGUCCUCAUUAUGCAUGAACAGAUAUGAUAGUUCCAUUCCUAAGUAUGAAUAUGUUCAAAUACCGUGUGUAUAUAAUUGUGAUAUUCAUAUUCUCAUGAAUGUUUCUGAACAACAUCCUCAUUGAUCAAAGUGAAAAUAAA
rnacentral:lncRNA from 10 species